AGAGACCGGCGCACGGGUGCGUAACGCGUAUGCAAUCUACCUUUUACAGAGGGAUAGCCCAGAGAAAUUUGGAUUAAUACCUCAUAGUAUAUAGCCCUGGCAUCAGGAUUAUAUUAAAGUCACAACGGUAAAAGAUGAGCAUGCGUCCCAUUAGCUAGUUGGUAAGGUAACGGCUUACCAAGGCUACGAUGGGUAGGGGUCCUGAGAGGGAGAUCCCCCACACUGGUACUGAGACACGGACCAGACUCCUACGGGAGGCAGCAGUGAGGAAUAUUGGACAAUGGGCGCAAGCCUGAUCCAGCCAUGCCGCGUGCAGGAUGACGGUCCUAUGGAUUGUAAACUGCUUUUAUACGAGAAGAAACACUCCUUCGUGAAGGAGCUUGACGGUAUCGUAAGAAUAAGGAUCGGCUAACUCCGUGCCAGCAGCCGCGGUAAUACGGAGGAUCCAAGCGUUAUCCGGAAUCAUUGGGUUUAAAGGGUCCGUAGGCGGUUUAAUGAGUCAGUGGUGAAAGCCCAUCGCUCAACGGUGGA
rnacentral:rRNA from 1 species